UAUUAAGGUUUGUUUGAAAUACAUCUUAGAGUGUGUAAUUUAAAAAAAAAAAAACAAGUAUUUAAAACAAAUUUGAGUAUUUAAGAAUCAUUCAAAAUAGCCUUUAAGAUACCUUUAAAAUAAAUUUUUUUAAAACUUUUUUUUUUAAACCUUAAUCCCAAAAACACUCAAAGUUGCCCAAACAAUUUCAAUUUCAAUUAUGUUAAUGAUUUGACCACAACAUAACUCAUAGGCGCAACCAAGUUGACUUACGAAGUUUCCCGUCCGUUCAACUUCAUGCCACAUCAUUACGAAGGUUCAAGGAUCAUUCAGCUAAUAGGUUCCACUUUUUAUGUUUAAUUUGGGUUAGUUUAGAAUAAGAAUGUUUCUGUUGGUGGAGGGUGUUGCUCUGACUUUGGUUUACAAUUGAAACUGCAAUAUUGGACUAAACGCCGGUGGAGCAGCUCAAUUGUUCGACGAAAUGUCUCAAAAAGAUAUGGGUUCUUUAGAGCGCAAUGCAAAUGCAUGGGUCGCCUAUAUCCAAGGACGAAAGGCCAAAGGAUUGGCGUCAAAAAGACUAGCAUCUGGCUCGAUGACAAAAGAAGUUUUGGCACAAAGCGACAAAACGAUGAACAAAGAAGAAACAGAAAGAUGUACAGAGAAGGUGGCAUGGAUCCCAAACCCAGUCAUGUAACUGAUGUCGUCGAUCUUCAUCUAUGAAGUAUAGAUACUUCUUGUGAGGUGGAGAAUCAGAAUGAGAUACAUAUCAGAUAUCCAUACUCCCAAAUACUCCUUAGAUACGUAUCUUACGUGCGCUGUACUGUAUCUGGUUUUUUCUUUUUUUCUGUAGUAUAGGAUACGCAUGCCCCCUUCCAUAACUAAGCAACCUAUUUAUAAAGCACACUACCCCAACCCAAAACUAAAAGAAAAACAAAAAUAAAAACCAAGCCCUAGAAUCAUUUAUUCUUCAUAUCCACAUUUGAGUCCCCACAAAGUCAUACAAAAAAUAACUCACUUGAUUAUCUUCAACAAGUGACAAAGAACUUUUAUCUUCUUAGUUCUCCUUCUAAUCUUCUUCUUCACUGAUUGAUCUGUCUCUAAUGGGCCACUAAUCUUCUCUACUCUAUUUUAUGGACUAUUGUAUUUUAAUCUC